CAGGAUAGAUGUAGCACACUCAGCAACAGAGAAAGGUUUCCCCACCACACUGGCAUAUGCCUCAACCCUGACCUGGAGGGAUCCCCUCUCAA
rnacentral:sRNA from 1 species